GCACUGCUGAGGAGUCCUAAAAUAGGACGAAACGGCCGUCCAGUUC
rnacentral:hammerhead_ribozyme from 1 species